CUCAGAUAUGAAGUGCACCCCAACCCCACUAAUGUGCAGAAUUCUUUCCUAAGCUGUCCCUAUCAGUGGCAGCAUCCUCUCCCUACACUAAUAAGACCGCAUGUGCGUGCGGCGCUACGUGACUCCAGCUUUUAUAUAAAGGCUGGGUCACAUGCUGCACUGGCCAAUCUCAGCCAUUCCAUUAGUAGGCAUGGCUGUGAUGGCUUCUAAGGGCACACGAGUCAGACGCUUGUUGAUCGGCUGCCCUGCAGCCUUUCAAAACGCGCCAUUAAAUCGCCAAACACCGAACUCCAACCCGAACAUACAGUGAUUUGUCCGUGUUCAGGUCCGGGGUCCAAAAAACCUAAUGUUCGGUACGAACCUGAAGUUUUCAGUUCGGGUUUGCUCAACUCUACAA